rnacentral:tRNA from 1 species
GGAGAGAUGGCUCAGUGGUUAAGAGCACUGACUGCUCUUCCAGAGGUCCUGAGUUCAAAUCCCAGUAAUCCCA